UACGGAGGGGGCAAGCGUUAUUCGGAAUUAUUGGGCGUAAAGGGCGCGUAGGCGGCUAGAUGUGUCAAAGGUGAAAUCCCUCGGCUCAACUGAGGAACUGCCUUUGAAACUGUCUGGCUUGAGGCCGGGAGAGGGUAGCGGAAUUCCCAGUGUAGCGGUGAAAUGCGUAGAUAUUGGGAGGAACACCAGUGGCGAAGGCGGCUACCUGGACCGGUUCUGACGCUGAGGCGCGAAAGCCAGGGGAGCAAACGGG
rnacentral:rRNA from 1 species